rnacentral:rRNA from 1 species
AUUGAACGCUGGCGGCAGGCUUAACACAUGCAAGUCGAGCGGGGGAAGGUAGCUUGCUACUGGACCUAGCGGCGGACGGGUGAGUAAUGCUUAGGAAUCUGCCUAUUAGUGGGGGACAACAUCUCGAAAGGGAUGCUAAUACCGCAUACGUCCUACGGGAGAAAGCAGGGGAUCUUCGGACCUUGCGCUAAUAGAUGAGCCUAAGUCGGAUUAGCUAGUUGGUGGGGUGAAGGCCUACCAAGGCGACGAUCUGUAGCGGGUCUGAGAGGAUGAUCCGCCACACUGGGACUGAAACACGGCCCAGACUCCUACGGGAGGCAGCAGUGGGGAAUAUUGGACAGUGGGGGGAACCCUGAUCCAGCCAUGCCGCGUGUGUGAAGAAGGCCUUAUGGUUGUAAAGCACUUUAAGCGAGGAGGAGGCUCUUUUGGUUAAUACCCAAGAUGAGUGGACGUUACUCGCAGAAUAAGCACCGGCUAACUCUGUGCCAGCCGCCGCCGUAA